ACCAACAGGGAUUGCCUUAGUAGCGGCGAGUGAAGCGGCAAAAGCUCAAAUUUGAAAUCUGGCACCUUCGGUGUCCGAGUUGUAAUUUGAAGAUUGUAACCUUGGGGUUGGCUCUUGUCUAUGUUUCUUGGAACAGGACGUCACAGAGGGUGAGAAUCCCGUGCGAUGAGAUGCCCAAUCCUAUGUAAGGUGCUUUCGAAGAGUCGAGUUGUUUGGGAAUGCAGCUCUAAGUGGGUGGUAAAUUCCAUCUAAAGCUAAAUAUUGGCGAGAGACCGAUAGCGAACAAGUACAGUGAUGGAAAGAUGAAAAGAACUUUGAAAAGAGAGUGAAAAAGUACGUGAAAUUGUUGAAAGGGAAGGGUUUGAGAUCAGACUCGAUAUUUUGUGAGCCUUGCCUUCGUGGCGGGGUGACCCGCAGCUUAUCGGGCCAGCAUCGGUUUGGGCGGUAGGAUAAUGGCGUAGGAAUGUGACUUUGCUUCGGUGAAGUGUUAUAGCCUGCGUUGAUGCUGCCUGCCUAGACCGAGGACUGCGAUUUUAUCAAGGAUGCUGGCA
rnacentral:rRNA from 1 species